AUAUGUCCAUGCAUUGUAAACGUGAAAACCAACGGUUGUUCAUCCGCAACUGACCUUCAGAUUGCAAACGUGUAAGUCAAGUAAUGAUAUAAAAGGGGCCGUUUUCACCGCAUUGGCAGAGCAGUUACAUCGAUUGUCCGUUUAAGAGCAUAUUAAAGUUGACCUGGCGACGUUGAAAUGUGACGUUUAGUUGACGUCCUUGUCAGCGAACCCACUGAGGCGGCCCUCGAGGCAGAGUGCCACAAGCUGAUCACCGACGGAACCAUCUUCUCAUACGGAUGUCCUUUAAUAUGUCAUGCUCUGCAAAACCUCGCCCACUACUUCCACGAGACUCCUCAUCCUGGCACAGGCUUCUACCUGCGGGAAUGCCAGAACUUCUGCCCGCUAAAGCAAAUAAAACAACUUUAGUAAUAACGUUAUAUGCAUGAAUUUUUACGAAACAUCUUAAUAAUAAUAAUAAUAAUAAUAAUAAUAAUAAUAAUAAUAAUAAUAACUUCAUUUCACGAAGAUAACACAUUAAUAAAUAGCAUUUUUUUUUACAAUGUGGUCUUCAAAAACACAGUAUAUGUAAAUAUAAAUCAACAAUGUCUAGCAUACUGCAAUCAGCCUUAAAAUAAUUACAAAAGCAUCAUAUAAUGAAAAUAAUAAUACUAAUACAAAUAAUAUUAAUAAUAAUAAAUUAAUAAAUGCAUAGCAAUGUAAGUGUUCGUUAUUUGUUAAGAGUACCAAUUAAAACGCAACGUCCGUUUAUUAGGUAAUCAGGUUUAUUUUUAUGUUAAAAUUACUGGGAGAUCAUUUUCCUUUCUGCUUUUUAAUUUACCACUUUUUGUAUUAUUAUUCACAUUCCAAAAAGUACAUUAUUUAAUGUGUUGCUUGAUGUGUUUAAGUUUCUCUAUGAAAAAUUCAUUUUAAAGAAUUAUUUAUCAAUAAUGCAAAAAUAUACCACCUUACCUAGAGAAGAUGAACUUCAGCAACCAUUUUUUUUCAGAAAAUAGUAGAGCUACGUUACCGAAACAAGUUUGGUGUAUAAUGAAAUGAUAUUGCCAGUUAGACGGGUGUAUUUGGUACUUUAGUCUUAUAAUGAUGUAUAUAUGGCAUUCUUUAUUGUUAUCGAAUUUGCGUUAAGAUACCGACGUUUGGUGGUGAAAGUAAUACAAUUAAUUUACGAGUACAAAAUGUAUACCAUUUUAUUAUAACUUAACGGAUAAGAAAAUUUCGUAACAAGAUGUAAAGAACAUGUGAAAAUAUGGUUAUGCUAUUUUGUAAUUUGAAUCUGUACUUAAAAUUGUUUUCCAUGUAUAAGACUGUGUUAUUGCUCAUAAUUUAUCAUACAUAAAACAAUAUCCUAACUUGAGUACUUAAAAGUUAUAGAAGAGUAAAUCAAUAAAAUACCACGAACUACAACGAUAAAUUACCGUAAAGUACUUUUUUAUUAGUAGUGGGCUACUAAAAUAUUUUAUGAGUUGCACUUAAUUAACGAAAUAUAAAUUUAGCAAGACAUAUAUGGUAGCAAAACAAAACGACAAUUGCUGUGUUUGACAUGAAAAACUAUAAUAGCGAACAUAAAAAAAGGUAGCACGAAAUUGAAUAUGUAAGAAAUUAAUGUAAUGUAUGUUGAUAGAAAGAAAAAAAUAAUGAGAAUAACAGUAUAUGUGCAAUUUAAUUGUGGUACACAUCUUAUAAAUUUAUUUUUAAUUCAACUGAAGCAGAAAUAUGAAAUCUUAAUAAUGUUAAUUAACAAUACAUGGGAUUUAUAAGUUGAAAUGUUCGCUACAAUGCUCCAGUUUAAUAUUUGAAAAAAGUCCAACAUGAUGAAGCACAAGCACGUGUACUAUGGUUAAAGAAACAUUAGGACGUAGUAAACACGGUUUUGUUCACACUAGUAAUGUGCACAUUUGCAUGUAUCAGUAUAGAUUUUAAAUGAUUUUUUAAAACUUAAGAAAUGUUACUCUUC